UUAAGCGACCAAGCGUACACGGUGGAUGCCCUGGCAGUCAGAGGCGAUGAAGGACGUGCUAAUCUGCGAUAAGCGCCGGUAAGGUGAUAUGAACCGUUAUAACCGGCGAUUUCCGAAUGGGGAAACCCAGUGUGACUCGUCACACUAUCAUUAACUGAAUCCAUAGGUUAAUGAGGCGAACCGGGGGAACUGAAACAUCUAAGUACCCCGAGGAAAAGAAAUCAACCGAGAUUCCCCAGUAGCGGCGAGCGAACGGGGAGGAGCCCAGAGCCUGAAUCAGCAUGUGUGUUAGUGGAAGCGUCUGGAAAGGCGCGCGAUACAGGGUGACAGCCCCGUACACAAAAGCGCAUAUGCUGUGAGCUCGAUGAGUAGGGCGGGACACGUGGUAUCCUGUCUGAAUAUGGGGGGACCAUCCUCCAAGGCUAAAUACUCCUGACUGACCGAUAGUGAACCAGUACCGUGAGGGAAAGGCGAAAAGAACCCCGGCGAGGGAGUGAAACAGAACCUGAAACCGUGUACGUACAAGCAGUGGGAGCACAGGUUUACCUGUGUGACUGCGUACCUUUUGUAUAAUGGGUCAGCGACUUAUAUUCUGUAGCAAGGUUAACCGCAUAGGGGAGCCGAAGGGAAACCGAGUCUUAAUUGGGCGUUAAGUUGCAGGGUAUAGACCCGAAACCCGGUGAUCUAGCCAUGGCAGGUUGAAGGUUGGGUAACACUAACUGGAGGACCGAACCGACUAAUGUUGAAAAAUUAGCGGAUGACCUGUGGCUGGGGGUGAAAGGCCAAUCAAACCGGGAGAUAGCUGGUUCUCCCCGAAAGCUAUUUAGGUAGCGCCUCGUGAAUUCAUCUCCGGGGGUAGAGCACUGUUUCGGCUAGGGGGCCAUCCCGGCUUACCAACCCGAUGCAAACUGCGAAUACCGGAGAAUGUUAUCACGGGAGACACACGGCGGGUGCUAACGUCCGUCGUGAAGAGGGAAACAACCCAGACCGCCAGCUAAGGUCCCAAAGUCAUGGUUAAGUGGGAAACGAUGUGGGAAGGCCCAGACAGCCAGGAUGUUGGCUUAGAAGCAGCCAUCAUUUAAAGAAAGCGUAAUAGCUCACUGGUCGAGUCGGCCUGCGCGGAAGAUGUAACGGGGCUAAACCAUGCACCGAAGCUGCGGCAGCGAACGUAUCACUUAAAACGAUUCAGAAGCUUACGAUUGACGGAGCGAAGCGACGUCAAAGCGUAUACAAAGUCGAGUCGGUUUAAGGAUACGUUCGUUGGGUAGGGGAGCGUUCUGUAAGCCUGUGAAGGUGGCCUGUGAGGGUUGCUGGAGGUAUCAGAAGUGCGAAUGCUGACAUAAGUAACGAUAAAGCGGGUGAAAAGCCCGCUCGCCGGAAGACCAAGGGUUCCUGUCCAACGUUAAUCGGGGCAGGGUGAGUCGACCCCUAAGGCGAGGCCGAAAGGCGUAGUCGAUGGGAAACGGGUUAAUAUUCCCGUACUUGGUGUUACUGCGAAGGGGGGACGGAGAAGGCUAUGUUGGCCGGGCGACGGUUGUCCCGGUUUAAGCGUGUAGGCUGACUUUCCAGGCAAAUCCGGAGAGUUAAGGCUGAGGCGUGACGACGAGGCACCACGGUGCUGAAGCAACAAAUGCCCUGCUUCCAGGAAAAGCCUCUAAGCAUCAGGUAACAUCAAAUCGUACCCCAAACCGACACAGGUGGUCAGGUAGAGAAUACCAAGGCGCUUGAGAGAACUCGGGUGAAGGAACUAGGCAAAAUGGUGCCGUAACUUCGGGAGAAGGCACGCUGACACGUAGGUGAAGUGGUUUACCCAUGGAGCUGAAGUCAGUCGAAGAUACCAGCUGGCUGCAACUGUUUAUUAAAAACACAGCACUGUGCAAACACGAAAGUGGACGUAUACGGUGUGACGCCUGCCCGGUGCCGGAAGGUUAAUUGAUGGGGUCAGCGCAAGCGAAGCUCCUGAUCGAAGCCCCGGUAAACGGCGGCCGUAACUAUAACGGUCCUAAGGUAGCGAAAUUCCUUGUCGGGUAAGUUCCGACCUGCACGAAUGGCGUAAUGAUGGCCAGGCUGUCUCCACCCGAGACUCAGUGAAAUUGAACUCGCUGUGAAGAUGCAGUGUACCCGCGGCAAGACGGAAAGACCCCGUGAACCUUUACUAUAGCUUGACACUGAACAUUGAGCCUUGAUGUGUAGGAUAGGUGGGAGGCUUUGAAGCGUGGACGCCAGUCUGCGUGGAGCCAACCUUGAAAUACCACCCUUUAAUGUUUGAUGUUCUAACGUGGACCCGUAAUCCGGGUUGCGGACAGUGUCUGGUGGGUAGUUUGACUGGGGCGGUCUCCUCCUAAAGAGUAACGGAGGAGCACGAAGGUUGGCUAAUCCUGGUCGGACAUCAGGAGGUUAGUGCAAUGGCAUAAGCCAGCUUGACUGCGAGCGUGACGGCGCGAGCAGGUGCGAAAGCAGGUCAUAGUGAUCCGGUGGUUCUGAAUGGAAGGGCCAUCGCUCAACGGAUAAAAGGUACUCCGGGGAUAACAGGCUGAUACCGCCCAAGAGUUCAUAUCGACGGCGGUGUUUGGCACCUCGAUGUCGGCUCAUCACAUCCUGGGGCUGAAGUAGGUCCCAAGGGUAUGGCUGUUCGCCAUUUAAAGUGGUACGCGAGCUGGGUUUAGAACGUCGUGAGACAGUUCGGUCCCUAUCUGCCGUGGGCGCUGGAGAACUGAGGGGGGCUGCUCCUAGUACGAGAGGACCGGAGUGGACGCAUCACUGGUGUUCGGGUUGUCAUGCCAAUGGCACUGCCCGGUAGCUAAAUGCGGAAGAGAUAAGUGCUGAAAGCAUCUAAGCACGAAACUUGCCCCGAGAUGAGUUCUCCCUGAGACUUAGAGUCUCCUGAAGGAACGUUGAAGACGACGACGUUGAUAGGCCGGGUGUGUAAGCGCAGCGAUGCGUUGAGCUAACCGGUACUAAUGAACCGUGAGGCUUAACCUU
rnacentral:rRNA from 1 species